rnacentral:rRNA from 1 species
CCUACGGGAGGCUGCAGUGGGGAAUAUUGGACAAUGGGGGGAACCCUGAUCCAGCCAUGCCGCGUGUGUGAAGAAGGCCCUCGGGUUGUAAAGCACUUUCAGUGAGGAAGAACGCCUGGUGGUUAAUACCCAUCAGGAAAGACAUCACUCACAGAAGAAGCACCGGCUAACUCCGUGCCAGCAGCCGCGGUAAUACGGAGGGUGCGAGCGUUAAUCGGAAUUACUGGGCGUAAAGCGCGCGUAGGUGGCUUGAUAAGCCGGUUGUGAAAGCCCCGGGCUCAACUUGGGAACGGCAUCCGGAACUGUCAAGCUAGAGUGCAGGAGAGGAAGGUAGAAUUCCCGGUGUAGCGGUGAAAUGCGUAGAGAUCGGGAGGAAUACCAGUGGCGAAGGCGGCCUUCUGGACUGACACUGACACUGAGGUGCGAAAGCGUGGGUAGCAAACAGGAUUAGAUACCCUAGUAGUC